rnacentral:rRNA from 1 species
CCUACGGGUGGCUGCAGUGGGGAAUAUUGGGCAAUGGGCGCAAGCCUGACCCAGCAACGCCGCGUGAAGGAAGAAGGCUUUCGGGUUGUAAACUUCUUUUGACAGGGAAGAGUAGAAGACGGUACCUGUCGAAUAAGCCACGGCUAACUACGUGCCAGCAGCCGCGGUAAUACGUAGGUGGCAAGCGUUGUCCGGAUUUACUGGGUGUAAAGGGCGUGUAGCCGGGUUGACAAGUCAGAUGUGAAAUCCUGCGGCUUAACCGCAGAACUGCAUUUGAAACUGUCUAACUAGAGUACGGGAGAGGUAAGAGGAAUUCCUAGUGUAGCGGUGAAAUGCGUAGAUAUUAGGAGGAGCACCAGUGGCGAAGGCGUCUUACUGGACCGAAACUGACGUUGAGGCUCGAAAGCGUGGGGAGCAAACAGGAUUAGAUACCCCUGUAGUC